GUCCCUGCAUGCGUUUUCAAUCCCAGCAACAUCUACAUCCCACCUCGCCAUCGGUCCAUGCCGUAGUCCUCGCUGGCAGGCUCCCAUCUGUUCCGAUGCCAGCAAUGCUCGGCAACCGUACGCACCGGCACCAGUCAAGCUGUCUUAUGCUGUAGGCAGGUCGUCCCUGCCGGCAGGCUCCCGUCUCCUCUCCUGGAGCGACGGCGGCGGCGCCAUUCCAUCAUCCCUUCCCAGCUCCUCUUCUGCUCUGCGGCUGCGCUUAGCGCUCAGGCCAUGGAGUACUGUCGUGGCUCUUCCCAAGUUCCCAUGUUGGCCUCCGACAUGGCGACCAGGUCCUUUGCACUAGCGGCGGCUGGAGCCCAAGAGAACAACUGGAGAAACGCAGCUAUGGAGCGGAGCAGUGUGUUGCAGGCUCGCCGCGCCUUGGCUCCAGACACGGCCACGAUGGCGCGGUGGUACUCGGCGGCGUUGAGGGUGAGCUAGCGUCGGCACCUUGCGCGUCGCCUCUGCGGCACGAUGGUGGUCGCCGGAGUGUACCCGUCCGCUGACGUCUUCCCCUUCAGCCCGUCGCUCAGCUUCACGUGUAGCCGCCGUCGCAGCUCCCUGGCCUUCGGGGCGCACUGCAACUUCCCGUGACCACCUCCUCCCCGUCGACAUGCUUUGCGGCGCCGGCUGUGGGCCUGGUGAGCAGCGGCCGCAUCUUCAGCUCCGGCAUCGCCCUGAGCCCGUCGAACCGAUCAGCCGCGGCUUGCGUAUGGACUGCAUGGGAACCAGGAGCCCCGAGCGGGAUGUAGUAGGACGCCCUGUUUGGCCCAAUCGGCGUCGUUCAUCUUCCUAUGCACAUUCUUCAGUCUUCAUGCCCGAUCUAGUCUUCAUGCCCGAUCUUCAGUCUUCGUUUGUACGUAUGGGUCCAUGCUGUUAAUAUCGGGUUACUCAGACUGUGCAUGUAUUGAGUAGUAUGAUUGCAUUAAGCAAUAUUAGUUGGGCGUUUAUGCAGUAUAACCAUUUGUUCA